UACAGAGACUGCAAGCGUUAUUCGGAUUCACUGGGCGUAAAGGGUGCGCAGGCGGCCAAGUGUGUGAGGCGUGAAAGCCCGGGGCUUAACUCCGGAAUUGCACCUCAAACUACAUGGCUAGAGCAUUGGAGAGGGUAGCAGAAUUCACGGUGUAGCAGUGAAAUGCGUAGAUAUCUGGAGGAACACCGGUGGCGAAGGCGGCAUCCUGGACCGGCAUUGACGCUGAGGCGCGAAAGCCAGGGGAGCAAAGCGGG
rnacentral:rRNA from 1 species